AAAAAACUAGAAAGGAGAACACAGCACACUCAGCCACGGGGUCUUUGUUCUGCUCUUUGAUGGCACAAUCCCUUCCCCCCUCAAGAGCCCUUUGUACUUGUUCUUCCUCCCCUUCUCUCUUCACUGGACUCACUUCUUUGCCUCCCUCAGCCCUCCAGCCAAAAUUUACGUCUUUCAGGAGACAUCCUCUGCCUUGCUGACAUAAAUGCUGUCCUUCCCAUCCUCUGCCCUCGUGGUACCCACUGCCUGGCCUUUGCGUAUGUGUUAAAAUUUGUAGUUAUAUAUUCAUCUGUUUACUGUUUUAUUUUCCAACCAACCUGUAUCCUCCAUAAGGGCCAGGGCAAUGCCUGGCUAAUUGCCUCAUACAUAGUAGGUGUUCAUCAAAUAUUUGUUGAAGGGAAGAAACUGUAAGAAAUUACUUUCAAUAUAAUAACGUAAGUGGGCAGGGGCCAGAGCUGAAGAGUUAAAAGAAAACCUCAAUACAUAGUUAUUUUUAUCUGCUAAAUUAUAGGAGGACCAGGGAUUGGGACCAAGAGUUAAGUCCUAUUCAUCUUAGAGUUUAGACAUAAAAAAACAUGCUUGAUGGAUAAGAAUAGAUUCCACGGAGGCCAAGUCAGAAGGGGGAAUAACAGAAUUUCUGAGAAAAAAAAUCACCAGAGUGAGUUUCUCAAGAGAGUUUCUCAACAUCAGUGCUAUUGACAUUUUGGGUGGGUAAUUCUUUUAUGUGAAUUAUAGGAUGUUUUGCAGCAUCCCUGGCCUCUAUGAAUUUAAUUCCAUUAGCAGCCCUCAUUCUCAGCUGUAACAACCAAAUACGUCUUCAGACCUGGCCAAAUGUAUGCUGGGAAGGGAUGUAAAACUGCCCCCAGCUGAGAACAAUACCCUAAGAGAAGAAAUGAGAUAGAGGACAAGAAAAGUCUGAAUGCCAGAAAGAACUGUUUCUGGAUGCGUGGAGGAAGCUAAUGUCAGCACUCUUUCUGGCUGGUAUGAACACUGCAAGGCUGGUGAAGCUGAGGAUGCUAAUUGGUGCUGCUUACUUUUCGUCCUAACAAAGCCUUGGUUUCAUCUGCUCAUCACAAAACUCUGCAAAGAAGUAUCAAUAUCCAUUAUCUAAUAGAUACGCCAAUUGUCCAGGGACCACUAUCUGGACUAGGACCAGGUCCCCGAGCUCCAACACAAACUGUGAUUGCUCCUUUCAAUGAAGUCUUUUAUCAUCUUCUGCCAAAUCAGAGGGAUAGUUUUAUUCAUUCCGCUAAGGCUGGCCAACUGAAGCAUAGCCUGUUUUUUGUCACUUCUGCCUCUACAAUGAAUGAACUGAGCAAAGCAAGGCAAUGUCUCCACAUGUUUGUAAAUUACUACGUUUUCAGUCUCUAGUUAUUUUGUGCAUAUAUUCAGGAAACAUUUAUUGACUGAACAAAUAAAUGGAUGAUGACUUAAUAUCA
rnacentral:lncRNA from 1 species